CACCAUCUGAGGAGUAGCAUCUUCCUGCCACUUGUGCCAGGCUGGGGCAGAUGAGAACUGUCAGUGCCAUGGGCCAGGGCUCCCUGAGCUCCCAUAUUGACCCCCAGGGAGAGAAGUACCAGUCUGAGGCCCCGGAAGCUGAGAGAAUCCAGAAACGAGGGCCAGGUUUUGUGCUGCCUUUGAGGCAUGGAAGGGAGCCUAUACGAUACAGCAAGGCUCCGCACGAGCUGAGGGAAACGGAUGUGAAUGGGGAGAUCCACCGAGGCUACGGCCUGAGCGGGAGCCCCAAGCAGACCGUGUGUGUGCAUUAAAUGAACCCCUCAGCCUGAGGAAGAAGCUGGAACACGGCUUAGAACGCUUCCAUUUCCCAGGUGUGCUUCUAUCCGAGAUUGCUCUUUCUGGCAUCCAGGUCACCCCUGACUCUGCAAAGGGCCCCAGGUUGUCCUUAACCCCGAAGUCAAGGUUCGUCCUCAUUGCUGAAGCAGAUGCAGGCCAACCCACACUCUCUGCUACCUGGCACGGAUGCCAGAUAUUCAUCUACACGCGUGUUUAUGAGCUCAGGCCAUUCUCAACACUCCAGAUGGGAAGACAAAGGCACCCAGAGCAGAAGGCGCAGCCCCUGGUGGAAACACCCUUUGUACAGCCUAUGGCAGCACCAUGGCCAGAGGGGAAGGCAAUUUGCAGCCCAAAGGGACUCUAUGGCUGCCCCAGAUCCCUCAGAGUCCAGGAACUGUCUUCCUCUUCAAAGAGUGGCCUCUGGUGUGGAAACCUCAGAGACCUUGCUUCUCAAGAUGCAGAGAGAGCUCAAAGCCAGAGCUCAAGGCCGGAGCACAGAGGACAGCGGCCCUCAGCUACAAAAGGGGUCACUAAGCUGCCAGCUUCUGAUGCCCAUUCCCACUCCUGGCAGGCAUGCGGCGCUUUGUCACUUGGUGAAGAGUGUGGUUCUUGGGGAAGCACUUCCUGCUUUCCCGAUGACCUCACUGAAGUCCCCUUUAAGAGUCUGCUCCACCCACUGCCAUCUCUCCCAGCCUGCAUCCACGUGGCUCUGAUGAUGGGAAGCACCAGCAAGUGGCACCAGCCAGCAGAAGCCACAUGCAUUACCACUGUCCUUGGCUCUGUGACUCCAGCUAUGAAGAGCAUAUCCUGAGAACAGCAGCCCUUGGAACCCCGUCACCUUUCUCUCCAAGAACAGACCUCACAAGGACACGACCUCCCCGAGCUGAGGGCAUCUGUGCACUCACUCAGGCCCCCCCCAAAAGGGCUUGCUGAAUGGGAAAAGCACCAACCGUGAGGCAGCAGGGGACAGAGAUGACACCAGGCUGACAGUGAAGGAAAUUCUUGGUGUUUCCAAGUAGGCAUUUCCAGGGUACAGACUCUGCAGAGUCACGCUGGUGUUGGUCCAGCACCUUCUGAGUACUGUGCGGGUGAAGACAGAUUACAGAGGUGAGGGAUCUUGAAUGUGGGCACGCAGGGCACUUCAGAGAAAGUUCCAGAACUUCAGGAAGGAUGAACUGUCCAAACAGACUCUGGAGGCCUGUCCAAGGCUUCCCUGCUGGGCUGGAGUGGGGGCAGGGCAGCAUGACCAGGGAUGGGGCUGGGCAUGGCUCUGCGGAUUUAAUGGGCACACAGCAGCUCCUCCUCACUGGAGGAUCACUGGAGGUUUCAGAAACAGAGUCCAUGUACCUAGAAUGUUUUUGUUUUAAAGCACAGACAAUCCUUUUAAAUCUCUCCUUCACCACCCAGGAGGAAACAGGAGAGAUGAUGUACCCUCCCCUAGAUGGCUCAUCACAAACCCAGUCUCCACAUCUUCCUGUCUUCAAACUUGUUCAUGGUGGCUUCUAUCUUCAUGCCUCUCAGGGGAGCAGGACACAAGCUUCAAAUACAAGUCUCCAGGGGAGCCAUGGGAAGGCUCAAAGUACGUGUGUGUGUGUGGGGGGGGGCUCACUUCUGCAUACCCAAGACUGUCCUCCUGCCACAGGAGAAGUUCAGCCUGAUAUGAGACUUCAAUCAAAAUGAUUUAUCUCCCCAAAACACUGAAAAUAUGUCUGUUACUUCCAGAAUUUAUUGUUUGAAUAAAUUGGCAUAUUUAAUGCAAUGCUUUAAAUGUGACAUUUAAACAAACUUAUUAAUCUAACAUGAUGCUUGAACCUUUUCUUCCUGCCUAGAAGUUAGUACAAUUAUUUCUUUAUUCUCAAUAUUUUAAAUACAUUUCUGAUUUUUUGUU